rnacentral:miRNA from 14 species
AAUUUGAAUUUCAGAUAAACAGCAAGUAACUUUUUAGUAUAAGUAUAUCCCAUGCAAUAUUUGGGAGAUACUUAUACUAAAAAGUUACUUGUUGUUAAUCUGAAAUUUAUAUGUAAGUGGCCAUCCUGUAUUUU